rnacentral:rRNA from 1 species
UACGGAGGAUGCAAGCGUUAUCCGGAAUGAUUGGGCGUAAAGCGUCCGCAGGUGGCUAUGUAAGUCUGCUGUUAAAGAGUGAGGCUCAACCUCAUAAGAGCAGUGGAAACUACAUGGCUAGAGUGCGUUCGGGGCAGAGGGAAUUCCUGGUGUAGCGGUGAAAUGCGUAGAGAUCAGGAAGAACACCGGUGGCGAAGGCGGAUCUCUGGGCCUGUCCUGACGCUCAGGCGCGAAAGCUAGGGGAGCGAACAGG